ACGGGAGGCAGCAGUGGGGAAUAUUGCACAAUGGGCGAAAGCCUGAUGCAGCGACGCCGCGUGAGUGAAGAAGUAUUUCGGUAUGUAAAGCUCUAUCAGCAGGGAAGAAAAUGACGGUACCUGACUAAGAAGCCCCGGCUAACUACGUGCCAGCAGCCGCGGUAAUACGUAGGGGGCAAGCGUUAUCCGGAUUUACUGGGUGUAAAGGGAGCGUAGACGGUAUGCCAAGUCUGAAGUGAAAGCUCGAGGCUCAACUUCGGAAUUGCUUUGGAAACUGGCGUACUAGAGUGCAGGAGAGGUAAGUGGAAUUCCUAGUGUAGCGGUGAAAUGCUUAGAUAUUAGGAGGAACACCAGUGGCGAAGGCGGCUUACUGGACUGUAACUGACGUUGAGGCUCGAAAGCGUGGGGAGCAAACAGGAUUAGAUACCCUGGUA
rnacentral:rRNA from 1 species